rnacentral:rRNA from 1 species
AGAGUUUGAUCAUGGCUCAGGACGAACGCUGGCGGCGUGCCUAAUACAUGCAAGUCGAGCGGAGUUAUUCGGGAGCUUGCUCCUGAAUGACUUAGCGGCGGACGGGUGAGUAACACGUAGGUAACCUGCCCCCUAGAUCGGGAUAACAUUCGGAAACGAAUGCUAAGACCGGAUACACGGUUUGGUCGCAUGACCGAAUCGGGAAACACGGAGCAAUCUGUGGCUUGGGGAUGGGCCUGCGGCGCAUUAGCUAGUUGGUGGGGUAACGGCUCACCAAGGCAACGAUGCGUAGCCGACCUGAGAGGGUGAACGGCCACACUGGGACUGAGACACGGCCCAGACUCCUACGGGAGGCAGCAGUAGGGAAUCUUCCACAAUGGGCGAAAGCCUGAUGGAGCAACGCCGCGUGAGUGAGGAAGGCUUUCGGGUCGUAAAGCUCUGUUGCCAGGGAAGAAUAAGGGCUAGUUAACUGCUAGUCCGAUGACGGUACCUGAGAAGAAAGCCCCGGCUAACUACGUGCCAGCAGCCGCGGUAAUACGUAGGGGGCAAGCGUUGUCCGGAAUUAUUGGGCGUAAAGCGCGCGCAGGCGGUUCUUUAAGUCUGGUGUUUAAGUGCGGGGCUCAACCCCGUGACGCACUGGAAACUGGGGGACUUGAGUGCAGAAGAGGAGAGCGGAAUUCCACGUGUAGCGGUGAAAUGCGUAGAGAUGUGGAGGAACACCAGUGGCGAAGGCGGCUCUCUGGACUGUAACUGACGCUGAGGCGCGAAAGCGUGGGGAGCAAACAGGAUUAGAUACCCCCGUAGUCC